rnacentral:misc_RNA from 1 species
GAGCAGGCACGGCCACGCGUGCAUUCCUUUUCAGCUGUGCGACAAGGCUUGUAUCGUCUUGAUCGUAUAAGUGGGUUUCCUGUGUUGCAUACCUGAUCAAUGGCAUCGUCUUGAUCAAAAGUGUGUAUUUUUCGUCUGGCAAUGCACCUGCAUUGUCGGAUGAACCACGUAGCAUCCUCUUUGAUCCAUACAGUUGACGUGCUWUCGUUGAUUGUUUGGCCCAUUGAGCGGUGACUCGGUCUCUCGGAUAUGGAAGCCAAAGUGGGCAUGGGRUCGCAAGAUCUCUUUAUUGUCCUCAUUGAGCGUUCUCACUUCUCUUACAYGAYCGCCUUUCACGUAUGGCACGUCCCAGCGUGUUUGGCUAUGUCGAAGAGGAAUGUUGGGCGUUCUUGCUUUUCUUACACGACUGCCUUUCACGUAUGGCAUGUCCCAGCG